rnacentral:lncRNA from 1 species
AUUGCAUCCCCUGCACUCUGUGGGGGCAAAAGCAAGUUGGAGGACCAUCCUGGAUUCAUGGGGAGAAGACCAAACAAGUGUGAGUGCUGGAAAGGAGACUUCCCUGUGGGCCAGCUUUGGAGAUGAGUGACCACAUUCUCCAUUACCAUUUGCUCCACGUGGUUCAGAACCACAUGAUUAUUUAACCAAAGCUCGGGUUGACUACACUUCAACUAACUGGAACCUACUGUAACGGAUCCAGGAGGCCCACAGGUCUGAACAAACACAUUGUGGUCUUCCAACUGGUACCUGGUUUCUGCUCCUGGAUUUACCAAGUGACUCCUCCUGUGACUCUGGAAGCCUUGAAAAACUUGGCAUCAUUCCUUCCUCUGUAGAUUAACAAUAACUUUACCCAUCUUCUUUCCCACAACUAUGGAAAGGCUCUGAAAAAAAACAGAAAUCAUAACUUUGUACCUAAUUUGUGAUUCCUCGUGGAAGGAGGUAAAGUUCUCUGGGAAAAUUAGAGAUUGCACGGUCUUUCAAAUACUAAUAAUCAUAAUCUCAACAAUCUCUUUGCUAUAUUAAAAAACUUACAGGAAUUUAGAAUGCCUCAAACUGGAAACAAAUGUCCAUCAACAGGAAUGUAGAUUCAUACAAUGGAAUAUUCAAGCAUAAAAAGUAUGAACUACUAAUACAUAAAACAACAUGGACAAAUCUCAAAAACAUCAUGUUGAAUGAAAGAAGCCAGACUCAUAACAGUACUCAUUAUAUAAUUCCAUUCCUACGAAAGCCAAAUACAGAUCUUCAGGAAAAGUUCUCUACAUAUAACCAAUUUAUCUAUGUUAGUGGUACAUUGAGGAGGUGUCCAGAGACAAAGAGACAAGACAGCAAAUGAAUGGACAAGAUGCUGUGAGGGAGUAGGAUUCAGAAGAAUGUCC